ensembl:lncRNA
ACUUGUGGCGUGUAAAAUGUGGAACCAAAAGGGGCAUCCUAGAUGUAGAGAAGUUGAAAAAAGGUGAGGCAUGUAUUGAGUAUAAAGGCUGCUUGUACAGUCCACCUGAGUUUGAGAAGCUUGCAGGAAAAGAGCCAUGUAGAAAAUGGAAGUCAACUAUUUUCUACAAUGAACUACCUCUGCAGUUUUGGUUUGAGGAAGGCUAUCUAACCACUACAGGAUAUAGACCAAAGAAAAAAAAACGAAAAUCAUGCGACUCAACAGAAGAAAGUGAGGAAGAUCAUGUUGACGAUGAAGAUGAGGAUGAAGAACGGGAAGAUGAGCAUAUGGAUGAAGAGGAUGUUGGUGGUGAUGAGUCUAGCAGUGAGGAUGAUGAGGAUGAAGAAAGUGAUAAUGAUGAAGACGAGACUGCGCCUGCUGUUGCCUCUAACCAUACUGACAGCAGUGAUAUCAAAGAGAGAGUAACAGCUACAAUUCCAACACCUGGAAAACAUGCAUUACAGAUGAAAGAAGUAAAGGGUAUCAUUAACAUCCUUCCUGAGAAGACUAGACAUCAUCCUGACAUGCCAAGAUCUGAAGUCACUGAAAAUCCCAGAGAUGUGGCAAAAAACACAGCAAUCAAACAGCAAAAUGUUAACAAAGAACCUGAAAAGAAACGGAAGAAGACAACAAGCAGCACAAUUUCGACACCUGUGAAACCUGCACUAAAGAUCAAAGAAGAAAAGGGUGUCGUUAAUAGCCUUCCUGAGAGAGCAAGAGAUCAUCCUGACAUGACAAGAUCUGAGGUCACUGAAAAUCCCAGAGAUGUGGCAAAAAACACAGCAAUCAAACAGCAAAAUGUUAAGAAACAACCUGAAAAGAAACUGAAGAAGACAACAAGCAGCACAAUUUCGACACCUGUGAAACCUGCACUAAAGAUCAAAGAAGUAAAGGGCGUCGUUAAUAGCCUUCCUGAGAAGGCUAGACAUCAUCCUGACACGACAAGAUCUGAAGUCACUGAAAAUCCCAGAGAUGUGGCAAAAAACACAGCAAUCAAACAGCAAAAUGUUAAGAAACAACCUGAAGAGGAACUGAAGAAGACAACAAGCAGCACAAUUUCGACACUUGUGAAACCUGCACUAAAGAUCAAAGAAGUAAAGGGUGUGAUUAAAUUCCUUCCUGAGGGUCUUUACAAUGUCAAGCACAAUGAGCUUACCAUUCAAAAGAAAUAAUAAAUAAGUCCAUCCAUCCAUCCAUUUUCUUCCACUUAUCUGGGGUCUGGUCGCGGGGGCAGCACCCCAAGCAGAGAAGCCCAGACCUCCACCUCUUUCCCCCCUACACCUCCUCCACCUUGUCCGGGGGAUCGCCAAGGCAUUCCCAGGCCGGCCGAGAGUGUCACGGGUUGCCGGGGCAAGCCGAGUGAAUUAUUAAAGGACCCGAAAUGCAGAUGGUUUCUGAGAAGACUAGAGAUCAUCCUGACACGACAAGAUCUGAGGUCACUGAAAAUCCCAGAGAUGUGGCAAAAAACACAGCAAUCAAACAGCAAAAUGUUAAGAAACAACCUGAAGAGGAACCGAAGAAGACAACAAGCAGCACAAUUUCAACACCUGUGAAACCUGCACUAAAGAUCAAAGAAGUAAAGGGCGUCGUUAAUAGCCUUCCUGAGAGAGCAAGAGAUCAUCCUGACAUGACAAGAUCUGAGGUCACUGAAAAUCCCAGAGAUGUGGCAAAAAACACACCAAUCAAACAGCAAAAUGUUAAGAAACAACCUGAAGAGGAACUGCAAGAACGCAAGGAAGAUCAUGUUGAACAUGAAGAUGAGGAUGAAGAACAGGAAGAUGAGCAUAUAGAUGAAGAUGAUGUUGGUGAAGAUGAGCCUAGAGCUGAGAGAGAUGAGGAUGAAGAAGGUGAUAUUGAUGAAGUCGAGACUGCGCCUGCUGUUGCCUCUAACCAUACUGACAGCAGUGAUAUCAAAGAGAGAGUAACAGAUACAAUUCCAACACCUGGAAAACAUGCAUUAGAGAUGAAAGAAGUAAAGGGUAUCAUUAACAUCCUUCCUGAGAAAGCUAUAGAUCAUCCUGGCAUGCCAAGAUCUGAAUUCUCUGGAAAUAACAGAGAUGUUGCAACAAACACAGCAAUCAAACAGCUGAAUGUCAAGAAAGAACCUGAAGAGGAACUGAAAGAACGCAAGGAAGAUCAUGUUGAACAUGAAGAUGAGGAUGAGGAACAGGAAGAUGAGCAUAUAGAUGAAGAUGAUGUUGGUGAAGAUGAGCCUAGAGCUGAGAAAGAUAAGGAUGAAGAAGGUGAUAUUGAUGAAGUCGAGACUGCGCCUGCUGUUGCCUCUAACCAUACUGACAGCAGUGAUAUCAAAGAGAGAGUAACAGCUACAAUUCCAACACCUGGAAAACAUGCAUUAGAGAUGAAAGAAGUAAAGGGUAUCAUUAACAUCCUUCCUGAGAAGACUAGACAUCAUCCUGACAUGCCAAGAUCUGAAGUCAGUGGAAAUAACAAAGAUGUGGCAAAAAACACAGCAAUCAAACAGCAAAAUGUUAAACAACCUGAAGAGGAACUGAAGAAGACAACAAGCAGCACAAUUUCAACACCUGUGAAACCUGCACUAAAGAUCAAAGAAGAAAAGGGUGUCGUUAAUAGCCUUCCUGAGAGAGCAAGAGAUCAUCCUGACAUGACAAGAUCUGAGGUCACUGAAAAUCCCAGAGAUGUGGCAAAAAACACACCAAUCAAACAGCAAAAUGUUAAGAAACAACCUGAAGAGGAACUGCAAGAACGCAAGGAAGAUCAUGUUGAACAUGAAGAUGAGGAUGAGGAACAGGAAGAUGAGCAUAUAGAUGAAGAUGAUGUUGGUGAAGAUGAGCCUAGAGCUGAGAAAGAUGAGGAUGAAGAAGGUGAUAAUGAUGAAGACAAGAGUGUGCCUUCUGUUGCCUCUAACCAUACUGACAGCAGUGAUAUCAAAGAGAGAGUAACAGCUACAAUUCCAACACCUGGACAACAUGCAUUAGAGAUGAAAGAAGUAAAGGGUAUCAUUAACAUCCUUCCUGAGAAGACUAGACAUCAUCCUGACAUGCCAAGAUCUGAAGUCAGUGGAAAUAACAAAGAUGUGGCAAAAAACACAGCAAUCAAACAGCAAAAUGUUAAACAACCUGAAAAGAAACGGAAGAAGACAACAAGCAGCACAAUUUCAACACCUGUGAAACCUGCACUAAAGAUCAAAGAAGUAAAGGGUGUCGUUAAUAGCCUUCCUGAGAAAGCUGGAGAUCAUCCUGACAUGACAAGAUCUGAGGUCACUGAAAAUCCCAGAGAUGUGGCAAAAAACACAGCAAUCAAACAGCAAAAUGUUAAGAAACAACCUGAAGAGAAACUGCGUCCUUCCUGUGAAGCUCUGCCCGUGUCAGAUGAGUGUGAACAUAAAGAUGUCCCCUGCUCUGGCCACAGUGUAGCUGAAGUACAAUCCAUGAUGCCAGAGAUGAGUGUGGACAUGUCAGAGGCCCGGUUGCCUGGGCCCUCAGCCAGCUCUGGCUUGAAUACAAUGGAUCUUGAUCAACUGAAGAGGAAAAAAAUAAAAAUGCAACUGAAGGUUUUAAAAUUACAAGAAGAGUAUUACACUUUGAAAAUAAAAGAACUGAAAAAAUGAGGAUUAAUGUAAAGCUGACAUUGCAGACAAUAAAUUAAAAGAUCGCUGUUUACAUCCACAAACUGACACACGUUAUCUGGAGGUUUCUUGGGUGGAAUGUUACUUUUGACAAAAGCUACAAAAUCAAGUGUGCUGCAUUUAUACACCGUACUUUGUCGUUGCUGUACUCAGGUUUCCUUUAGUAUUGUUGAUUACCAUGUUUUACUUUGUUAUUAGAAUUAAACAAAUAGCUGAUAUUUCCUUCCUGUAAAAUGUGAAUAAACAAUAUUGAUGCUUUUUAUCUGUAAAUUUUGCAAGUGUUAUGAAACUGUGUUUCCUUUGGACUUUGCCCAACCUGUAGUAAUAGUUGUAAGAAGUAGCCUUUAAACAGCAUCGUGCAAUGUCUUGAGCCACAGCUCAUUUCUUUAUGUUUUGCUUCCAAGGAGCAAGAACUUUUAGAAAUUUGCAAGAAAAUAACAAUAUGUGCUCUUUUACUUUGAAGCAUUGUUAGUAAUACAUCAAUCAUAUCUGUGACAGAUGAGCAUAACUGUUUAAAUUCCAAAGAAAUUAGACCCCCCCAAAAAAUUCAUGUAAAUUUGUCCAACCAUAAUGAGAAAAUAUGAAAUGAAUAAAGGAGAGUUACAGUGAUGUGCAAAAGUCUUGAGCCAGGACACGUCAUGCAGAGAUAUGUUAAGUGUCCAGCUAAUAGAUCUUUGGGCAUCAGUUGGUUCCACAAUAAAAAAAAUUCUGCCUAUCAAACUGUGUUAUCUUUGGAAUUUUUCAUAGAUUAAUCUAAAGAAAUUGGAAG